CAGGUUUGGUGUUUGAAUCCCAGGAUGCCCGGACACCUCGAGCACAUGCACAAGGAGGGUGUCGCUGGAUGGUGGCUGCACUCAACGCUUCCCAUCAUCCGGAGACAUCUUCCUCGUGGUGCUCUCUCCUCCACCAGAGGAGCCGAUCCACCGAUCUCCAGAUUGCAACCACUGCAGGGCAGAACCAGUCAGAAGAGAAAAAGCCCAUGAGUGAUGUCCCGAGCGGGGUGGCCUCGGGUGCGCGGCCAGGUCCUGGUGGCUCUUGGCCAUUACACUCCGUGCUUCCUCUCAAAGGUACCUGUCCAGCUUUAUUACUGUCACUUCCCAACCCUUUGGAAGCCUUCCCAAGAUGUACUUACGGAAUUACUGUUCCCACUCUGCAGAGAAAACAGCUAAAGCCUUGUUAUAACUCCUUAAUGUUAACAUCUGAAUGGAGGGAUUAUCCUCCCUUACAAAAGGCUACAUGUUUGUUUAACGCUGUUUUCACUUGUUUGAAAGUGAAUUUUAUAAAGUCCCUUUCCCUCCCUGCGCCUCCCCCUGGCUCCAGCCCUUCAGUUUCUCGCUGGGGACGGAGCAAGCCUCGGGCACUUGUAGCUUUUCCUGUUGGAAACAUUGCUCUUAAAGCUGCGCCGAGAUGGGGCCUUUGGUUUCACUUUGUGCAAGGUUCCCAGCUCAUCCGUGUGCCCAGCUCCACUUGCACUGGGAGGUCCCCAGCCCACUUUUGGUGCUGAACCUGCACAGAGGCUGCUCCAUAGCUGGCAACGCUGCUGAUCUGGCUGAAGAGAAAUCCAAAGUCAAGAAAAUGAAUUUGCCCACUGCUGGUGGCACUGCUGGGGCAUUUGGGAAGCACAAGCAGCAGCCAGACGCAGGGCAGGACCCACCUGCAUGGGAAAACCUGGUGAAACCACAGCCCACGAUGCAGUGCCCUCACCAUCCGAUGUGCAAAACUGUGACAGGAUUGGGCCCACGGCUAGGCUGGAGAGGGAACAAGAGACAGUGGGGAGGAGAUUUCCCUGUGAUCAGAAGCAGCAGGAGCACAGGUCCCCACAUAUUCAACUUUGGGAUGUGCAGAGAGGUGCAAGGGAGUGGGGAGAAAGGGGAACAAAACUCCUCCAGAGCUGAAAAGCUUCCAGCGGGUUCACGCUGCCUGCAUCGCAUCCCAAACUGCAUCCCGUACCCCAUCCCACAUUACAUCCCAUGACGUAUCCCAUGCCACAUCCCACUCAGCACCCCGCUCAGCACCCCGCUCCACAUCCCCAGUCCCCCCAGUGCAGCUCCUGCCCGAGCCGCCCGCCCCUGCCCGCCUGGCUCCGGCGCGCACGGAGCCGCUGAAGCUUUUGGACCAACUGCGUUGUUUUUUUUAGAAGCCACAAUAUUUAUAAAUGGUUGGUAAAAUAUUUACGUUACGAGCCAGUUUGCCUUGUUGGUUUAAAAAAUUAAUAUAACAUUAACUCCUCUCAGAACAUUUAGGUUUUUAAGAAUUGAGCUGAAAAUUAAACAAUCGUUGGAUUUGUGGUGGGAGUAACGUGGCAGCAGGAGUAUUUAUCACGUGCAAAACAAAUGGGAUUGCCACUUCUCUGCCAAAGACAUCAGAAUUUGGGGGUAUUUUUAUGCCCUGAGUAAAUAUUCUCAAUUCUUUGUGAACAGUUUAAAAAACAAAAAAUAAUAAUAAUAAAACCUGGUGGUUAAGAACGAUCA
rnacentral:lncRNA from 1 species